rnacentral:sRNA from 22 species
GAAAGAGCCGUUGGAUGAUACGCAACACUUGAGGGUUGCUCCUCUCCAAGAUCAUUCUUACGAGAAUGACAUAAGAAUUGUUGGGAGUUAAUACAAUUCGACUCUUUU